GAAGGGUUUUUUAAAAAUAAUAAUCACAAAGACUGUUUUAUAUCAGCUUUUAGGCUCUAAUUAAGAAGUUGGUCAGGGAAGGUUUCUUUUUUCCAGGAUAUCUAAAGAUAAACAACUUGGCAACAUGUGAAGAUUGCACAAGGUCUACUAGGUUUAGGCAGUAUGUGGGAUGCUCUGGGCUGCUAUUCCCACUUUACCAUCUCAGAUGUCACAUGGGAAAUUAAUCAAAUGAAUUGUAACAUCUGUCACACUUGUAAAUGGAACGAAGAAUAAAGCAUUUCUAAAAUAUUGUACCUGGCUGGGAAAAAUGAUGUAGCACUAUCUUUAAAAAGAAAAUUAAAUCUUUAAUUUACACUAUGCAUAAUAAAAUGGCACUUUCAUUCUCUGUGUGAACAAA